CUCGUGACGGUAGGGUGUUGUUGCUCGUGCUCCCGGGGGCCGAAAUAACUCGACUUCCAGAAAAAGACAAACUUUUUGAGGAACUAAAGAAAUGAAAACGUCUUGACUAUUUGAUGAUCCAGGAAGCUUGGAUUUGUUUGCUGACUUCUGAAGAAUUGGUGACCUACAAUACGAGAGCGACGAUUGAGCAAGGAGAGAGUGAAGGCCGAGUCAGGAUAAAGGAAGGAAGGACAUAGGAGAAGAACGAAAAUAAAUUCAGGUGAGUCAUAAACCGAUAGUUCUCUGCGUGGGGGUGUGAUUAAGUUCCA
rnacentral:lncRNA from 1 species